rnacentral:lncRNA from 1 species
CAUCCUAAAGCUUCCUGGUGCACCCAGCCUCAGCCACUCAUUAACAUACAUUAACAUACACUCUGGAGAUUCCCGAGGUUUUCAGAGCUGUGUGUGAGAAAUUGCAGCAAGGAAGAUCACAUAUGUACUUCACCAUCUUCACCAUAUCACAUCAUAGCAUUAUGUAUGGUGUAAAAUAUUGGAAAUUAUUUGAAUAUUUAAAUAUGCUAGUAUAAGAAAUAUAUACUAAGUAUAGGACCUUUAUGGUGAUGAAAUAAAAUGCAGCCAUGCCUCUUUUUUUUUUUUUUUUUUUUUUUUUUACAAAAACAGGGAAAGAUUCUUACAGUAAAAUAUUAUUUUAAAAAACUGGAGACAAAUUGUGUACACAUUAUUAUUAUAAUUUUGUAGAAUAUAGAUAGAAAAUACAGAAAAACACCCUAAAAUGAAAAUAAUGGAGUUUUUUUGCAUAAUAAUACUAUGAAUGGAAUUUUUAACUUAUUUGAAAUAUGUGUUCAUAUUUGAAUAUGUGUUCAAAUAUGUGUUACUUCUAUAUAGGGAAAAUUGUUUUUGAACAAACUAUACAUUUAUUCAAUAAUCAAUCAUAUGCUUGUUUAGGAGAAAAUUAUGAAAAUACCUCAAGAAGUCUUUUGUUGCUAUGAAGAUCAAUCAGAUGGUAGAAUUUCUAGAGAACAGGAGGUACAGGAAAGGCUCAGAAGAAUUCUGAGCUUUAAAGGAAAGAACAAGAAAACAGUGGGCAUGUUAUGGCUAUGGAGGCAAAGACACUGGUGUUUUUACUUAGAGUCAGAGUCACUCCCACUUAGCUCAUUUCUGUAUGAAAAUGAAACUAAUCAGCUUCAGUGCAUGAAACCAUUAGCUACUGCUUUAAAGUGUUGCUUUCAAAGGUCAAAGAGGGCCCACCCAGCAGCAAGAGAAUCUUACAAGUGAUGUGUGUCAAAUUUGCAUAUCAUAAUUAGUUUUUCUAUA